CAAUGCCAUCUGGUAUGUGACACGUGGUCUUCUUUUGUGACUAUUUGUCUCGAAACAUGGCAUAAAUAAUUUACUCUGGCUUGUAAAAGU
rnacentral:snoRNA from 1 species